ACGGAAGGCAGCAGUGGGGAAUAUUGCACAAUGGGCGCAAGCCUGAUGCAGCAACGCCGCGUGAGGGAAGACGGUCUUCGGAUUGUAAACCUUUGUCUUUGGUGAAGAAGAAAGUGACGGUAGCCAAGGAGGAAGCCACGGCUAACUACGUGCCAGCAGCCGCGGUAAUACGUAGGUGGCAAGCGUUGUACGGAAUUACUGGGUGUAAAGGGAGCGCAGGCGGGACAGCAAGUUGGAUGUGAAAUACCGAGGCUUAACCACGGAGCUGCAUCCAAAACUGCUGUUCUUGAGUGAAGUAGAGGUAGGCGGAAUUCCGAGUGUAGCGGUGAAAUGCGUAGAUAUUCGGAGGAACACCAGAGGCGAAGGCGGCCUACUGGGCUUUAACGGACGCUGAGGCUCGAGAGUGUGGGGAGCAAACAGGAGUAGA
rnacentral:rRNA from 1 species